rnacentral:lncRNA from 1 species
AAGAGAGAAAAACUUUCAAAUUUUCAUCUUGAUUUUCUUGCUUGAUUUAUGAAAAAUCCAAAGACCAACCUUAAUCCAUACCAAUUAAUCUUGAGUUAAGUUUAGAAGGAAGCUUUUGGUGGAGUUACUUGAGGAAAAAGCUCUUGAGUUGCUUGUUAUUUUGGGGUUUUGAGGUAAAAUUUCUAGAAAAUAUCUCUUUUUAUUUGUUUCUUGAGAUUUAUGCAAGAUAUGUUAUGAUUGAAGUUGAAGGAAGCAAGUUUAUGGUAAUUUCAUGAUUUUGUUAGGGUUUGAUUAAUUUUCAAUUUAGACAUAUGUUGGUUAUAGUUAGUUUUGUAAUUAAAAUAAGUACUCUAUAUAUCCUAUAUUGUGAACUUGAUUGAGGCUAUCUUGUGGUGAAAGUGUAGCUUUGAAAUAGUUGGAAGAAAUUGGUAAAUACAAAGGAAAUGUUGCUGAAAUUUUUCCCAAGGAGACUCUGAGCAGUUUUGAAAAAUCUAUCAUAUCUUGGUGUAAAAAAAUUCAAAUUAAACUCUGCUUAUUGCAUUUGAAACCAGAUUUAGAGUACUUUCUACUGUAAAAAUUUCAGAAUUUUUCUCAAUUCUUAUGAAUAUCUGUGAUUUUUUAAAAUUGACUGAAUUUUCAUUCCUGUUCUGUCUUUCUACUGGAUAAAGCAGCCAUUUGAGAUUGGAUUUUGACUGACUUGUGGAUAGAAUCUUGUGAAGGUGUCUUCUGAGAAAUGUUACUCUUUGAAUUUGUUUUCCAACAGUACAAAGUUUAAAAAUUUUGAAUUUAAAAAAAUUGAGAUAUGAUUUUUCAAAUAACAUCGCGCAAAACUGAAAAAACAGCCCUUAGUUUCUUAAAACUGUCCUUACUUUCAUUUCCUACUUUAAGUUGGAGUUGUUAAACCAUUUUGGGUUUGUUUAUGAUUGAAAUGAGGAAAUUCUUGGUUACUCAUGUCCCUUAGAGCUAAAUGUUUUCUUUUCACUCCAAAACCAUAUUUGCACCUUUGUACUAGUAGUUACUCGAAUUUUUUUUGGUUCACCUAAAUUUUGAAUGGUUGAACCAUAAUUUUUCUCUUGAUUAUUCUUAGAUUUGUCGGUGAUCAAGGGCAUAAUCCGGAAAGAAAAUUUUGAUGUUAUUUUAGUUAAACUGGUGAGUGUUCUUUGCAUGUUGUGCUUCCAACAACUAUGUGAAAUGUUGUGAAUGUUUGCUUAAAUGUUAAAUAUUUUUCAAUGAUUGUUAAAUAAAUUUUCAAUAGGCAAGUGUGUACUUUAUCGCACUCGACUUAAGUGAAUUUGAAAAUUUCAAUGAUUAAAUGAUUGAAUGUUACUUGUGCAAGAAUAUAAGUCUUUUGGCUGAAAUUGACCCUUACCCUUCGUUGCCAGUUGACUUAAGCCAGAAGCGGAUUCGAUCGGCGACUGGUGAUCGUGGGACAAUGUUUGGUAUACUCGAGUAUUACCACGAAAUUUGGUAAAGAACUGACCAAUGAAUUCAAUGCAAUGAUAUUAAUGAAUGAAUGACAAGAUCAAUGAAGGAGUUUUCACUUGCAAACGUUUUUUAAUGUCGAAAGGAUAAGGAAAAUGGUUGGCGAAUGAAUGAAUGAAUGGUUCCAAGUGAGCAUGUAUCCUUCUAAUAAUUAAGUGUUUAUUUCUUGAAUGACUAAAUAUUACUGUGCAAAGUAUGCAAAUUGUUAAAUGUAAUGUUUCCAUGAUUUUCCUACCUGAUUGUUUGUUUAGGAACCUCACUGGAUUUUAACUCAUUCUUUUAGUUUUUAUUUUCUUUACAGGAAUGAAAGGUCGAAGCAAUUGAAUGUGAACUAGAGUGUAUAACCCUCUUAUACUUAUACUUUUGGUUGAUAGGAUAUAUUUUGACAUUUGACGUUAUAUUAUACAUUUGAUUUUUGGGUUGUAAAUAAGUUUGUAUUUUGGUUGAAUGGUAGAACUUAAAUGUUAUUUUGGAGGCUUGAAUGAUUAAUCUUGAGAGUUGAUUGAGUGAGUAAGUGAAUUCUAAUGAGAGUUAGGCGGACAGUCCGCCAAAUCCUUGAAUAUGCCCUAAAAGAAGGUGGGAU